AGCCCCUCCGAGGAAAGCCGAGAUUGGACGUUUCCUUGCCGGCUGAGCCGCGGCUCGUCCCCCGCGACACAUAGAAGAAGUGGCCUUGCAUCCUGCUCCGCCUCCCGAGCCGGGUCCUUGGUUCCCGGAAGCCCUGAGCUGCCCCGCUGGAGUUACCUUCUGUGCGUUCUCUCCUAAACCUACACGUUAUUCACGACUUUGUUCAUGACUAUAGAAAACAAAACAAAAACAAAAACCAAACCAAAGUUCCCUCGCCUGGCGAUGGUGCAAGCCUGUCUACCUGCUGGAGGAUGGGUAGACCAAACCAAGAAUUAAACAACCACUCUAGUCUGAACUCAGCACUACUGCAGAGAAUCUGCUGGUCCCUAUACAAUCAUCCCGUGGGAAGUAUAUUACCCACUUAUCGAGCUCCACCCAUCGUGUAAGGUGCUCUCUCCCCACACCUGUGCUUCUGGGCUACCUACUGCCAUUAACACAAACCACAGCAAAAGGAAAAUAAAACAAUUUAGCAAAAAUCUAAACAUUCAACUGGAGUCGGUUCUGUGACAUCUGCUGGGCAUUUCCUUUGUCCUCUGAAUAGGUUGGAAUGUGCACACCUGGCUCGACCAAAAGAGGCACAGCUUAGGGGCGGCUUGGACCCAGCUCAAGUCUGGACUUGGCAGCUUUCCUGAGCCUGCCUAGGAAAGCAGGCUGGAGUGCAGGUGUCCCAGGGCUCUCUGGAGGAGCAGCAGCAACACCAUGCCUGGCUCUGGUGCCUUGGUCUCCUCGGAGAGGAUGCUUGAAGGAAUGGCACUCAGCAGAGUACAGGCCCCGUAACAGUGCAGCGCAGCGACAUCAGCUGAGGACUGGACAGAAUGGUCCUGAUGCUUGGCAGUGAUCCGUACUUGGAUAACCCUCUGCAUGAAAGGGCAGUGAGCCAGGAACCUCAAGCCACCCGGGAGCAGGUGCCUACUUGGCGUUUUCUGAGACGAGAGGCAGCGGAGUGUGUAGUAAAGGUGGCGCUGGCUCUUGCUGCUUCUGAAGCUCCAUCUCGGCAGCCCUCUGCAGUGCCACCUCCACCAGCAACUGGAAGCUGCUGAAGUCAUCCUUGUCCUGCUCUGGGGGUGUGGGUGGUGGCGUAUUGAAGAGUCCACCCGUGGGGCUUCCAGCCUCUGCCCUAGUCAGCAGGGGUCACUGUAAAGCUCUGGCUGUUCUGGAAUUCACUAUGUAGACCAAGGUGGCCUCAAAUGCUUCUACUUCCUGAUUACCAGGAUUAAAGCCACCAUGCUUGGGCUGGAGAGAUGGCUCACUGAUGUAAGAGCACUGAUUGCUCUUCCAGAGGUCCUGAGUUCAAAUCCCAGCAACCACGUGGUGGCUCACAACCAUCUAUAAAAAGGAUCUGAUGCCCUCUUCUGGUGUCUGAAGACAGCUACAGUGUACUCAUAUAAAU
rnacentral:lncRNA from 1 species